GAUGAACGCUAGCUACAGGCUUAACACAUGCAAGUCGAGGGGAAACGACAUCGAAAGCUUGCUUUUGAUGGGCGUCGACCGGCGCACGGGUGAGUAACGCGUAUCCAACCUGCCCACCACUUGGGGAUAACCUUGCGAAAGUAAGACUAAUACCCAAUGACGUCUCUAGAAGACAUCUGAAAGAGAUUAAAGAUUUAUCGGUGAUGGAUGGGGAUGCGUCUGAUUAGCUUGUUGGCGGGGUAACGGCCCACCAAGGCGACGAUGCAUAGCCGAGUUGAGAGGUUGAUCGGCCACAUUGGGACUGAGACACGGCCCAGACUCCUACGGGAGGCAGCAGUGGGGAAUAUUGCGCAAUGGGGGCAACCCUGACGCAGCAACGCCGCGUGAAGGAUGACGGUCUUCGGAUUGUAAACUUCUUUAAGUGUGGAAGAAAUUGACGGUACACACAGAAUAAGCCACGGCUAACUACGUG
rnacentral:rRNA from 1 species